rnacentral:piRNA from 1 species
UGCUUAAAGCCAUGUCAUGCAAGAGAGGU